rnacentral:tRNA from 1 species
GGAGAGUUACUCAAGUGGUCGAAGAGGCGUGACUCGAAAUCUCGUAGGGCGCGGAAGCGUCGCCAGGGUUCAAAUCCCUGACUCUCCGCCA